UGGGUGACCUGCCCUCAGCUCUGGGAUAAGCCUGGGAAACUGGGUCUAAUACCGGAUAGGACUGCAUGCUGCAUUGUGUGUGGUGGAAAGUUUUUCGGCUGGGGAUGGGCCCGCGGCCUAUCAGCUUGUUGGUGGGGUGAUGGCUUACCAAGGCGACGACGGGUAGCCGGCCUGAGAGGGCGACCGGCCACACUGGGACUGAGACACGGCCCAGACCUCCGUACGGGA
rnacentral:rRNA from 1 species